GGAGCAUCGGGAACCAUGCUUACUGGGCAGCAACAUCCUCUUCCACAGGCCCUGAAAAACUGGCCAAAUGGACCUCCAUUUUAAACCACAUACAAAAUAGGCACACCCAUGAUGACCCCACCUUUCCCAAAUGUCUGCACCCUGCGCUGCCUCAAAAAAGAUCAAAAAAAUGGUUUAAGCCAGGCUCCAAAGCUCUCUGCAAGGUGGAGAAGCUACUUCUUAGCAAAAGGGUCCUGACAGAUGUGCAGAAGCUCAGCUCCGACUACCAAACGUCUACAUUGGAGGCAUUCCAUAGUGUGCUAUUAAGAUUCACACCGAAGAAUGUGGUCUUCCCAUUUAUUGGGAUGUUGUGCAGACUGUACCUGGCAGCACUGCACUUUAAUGAGAAUGCUCGUCGCUG